AUCAUUAUAAGUACGACCAGACAUAAUAAUAAUUACUCUUGAAUUUGAACACAUUAGAGCAUCUCCAAAUUUUCCAUUAUAUAUGCUCCUAGGAAAACCUUUCUUAGAAAAAAAAACACUAUAAAAACGUGGAAUAAAUUUAUAUUCUUGAAAGAUUCUACUAUACAAGGGACACUACCCCACCACAACGUACAAGCACGCCAAUAACGCAUGCUGUCCCCAUUUUUGCUUGGC
rnacentral:lncRNA from 1 species